rnacentral:rRNA from 1 species
UGCAGUCGAACGGUAACWGGAUGUGCUUGCACAUCGCUGACGAGUGGCGGACGGGUGAGUAAUGCUUGGGAACUUGCCUUUGCGAGGGGGAUAACAGUUGGAAACGACUGCUAAUACCGCAUAAUGUCUACGGACCAAACGGGGCUUAGGCUCCGGCGCAAAGAGAGGCCCAAGUGAGAUUAGCUAGUUGGUAAGGUAACGGCUUACCAAGGCGACGAUCUCUAGCUGUUCUGAGAGGAAGAUCAGCCACACUGGGACUGAGACACGGCCCAGACUCCUACGGGAGGCAGCAGUGGGGAAUAUUGCACAAUGGGGGAAACCCUGRUGCAGCCAUGCCGCGUGUGUGAAGAAGGCCUUCGGGUUGUAAAGCACUUUCAGUUGUGAGGAAAAGUUAGUAGUUAAUACCUGCUAGCCGUGACGUUAACAACAGAAGAAGCACCGGCUAACUCCGUGCCAGCAGCCGCGGUAAUACGGAGGGUGCGAGCGUUAAUCGGAAUUACUGGGCGUAAAGCGCACGCAGGCGGUUUGUUAAGCUAGAUGUGAAAGCCCCGGGCUCAACCUGGGAUGGUCAUUUAGAACUGGCAGACUAGAGUCUUGGAGAGGGGAGUGGAAUUCCAGGUGUAGCGGUGAAAUGCGUAGAUAUCYGGAGGAACAUCAGUGGCGAANGCGACUCCCUGGCCAAAGACUGACGCUCAUGUGCGAAAGCGUGGGUAGCGAACAGGAUUAGAUACCCUGGUAGUCCACACCGUAAACGCUGUCUACUAGCUGUGUGUGCCUUUNANGGCGUGCGUAGCGAANCUAACGCGCUAAGUAGACCGCCUGGGGAGUACGGCCGCANGGUUAAAACUCAAAUGAA